rnacentral:rRNA from 1 species
UACGGGUAGGCAGCAGUGGGGAAUAUUGCUACAAUGGGCGCAAGCCUGAUGCAGUCCAUGCCGUCGUGUAUGUAAGAAGGCCUUCGGGUUGUAAAGUACUUUCAGCAGUGAGGAAGUGGGUAUGUUAAUAGCAUAUUCAUUUGACGUUAGCUGCAGAAGAAGCUACCGGCUAACUCCGUGCCAGCAGCCGCGGUAAUACGGAGGGUGCGAGCGUUAAUCGGAAUUACUGGGCGUAAAGCGCAUGCAGGUGGUUUGUUAAGUCAGAUGUGAAAGCCCGGGGCUCAACCUCGGAAUUGCAUUUGAAACUGGCAAACUAGAGUACUGUAGAGGGGGGUAGAAUUUCAGGUGUAGCGGUGAAAAUGCGUAGAGAUCUGAAGGAAUACCGGUGGCGAAGGCGGCCCCCCUGGACAGAUACUGACACUCAGAUGCGAAAGCGUGGGGAGCAAAACAGGAUUAGAUACCCUGGUAG